GAUGAACGCUAGCGGGAGGCUUAACGCAUGCAAGUCGUGGGGCAGCACGGGGUAGCAAUACUCUGGUGGCGACCGGCGCACGGGUGAGUAACGCGUAUGCAACCUACCCAGUACAGGGGGAUAGCCCGGAGAAAUUCGGAUUAAUACCCCAUAAUGAUAUUAAGAGGCAUCUUUUAAUAUUUAAAGCUUCGGCGGUACUGGAUGGGCAUGCGUAAGAUUAGCUAGUUGGUAGGGUAACGGCCUACCAAGGCUCCGAUCCUUAGGGGUCCUGAGAGGGUGAUCCCCCACACUGGUACUGAGACACGGACCAGACUCCUACGGGAGGCAGCAGUGAGGAAUAUUGGUCAAUGGGCGCAAGCCUGAACCAGCCAUCCCGCGUGAAGGAAGAAGGCGCUAUGCGUUGUAAACUUCUUUUCCGGAGGAAUAAAAUCUUGUACGCGUACAGGACUGAAGGUACUCCGGGAAUAAGCAUCGGCUAACUCCGUGCCAGCAGCCGCCGUAAAAC
rnacentral:rRNA from 1 species